AUACGGAGGGUGCAAGCGUUGUUCGGAAUUACUGGGCGUAAAGCGCGCGUAGGCGGUCUGUUAUGUCAGAUGUGAAAGUCCUCGGCUCAACCGGGGAAGUACAUUUGAAACUGGCAGACUUGAGUACUGGAGGGGGUGGUGGAAUUCCCGGUGUAGAGGUGAAAUUCGUAGAUAUCGGGAGGAAUACCGGUGGCGAAGGCGACCACCUGGCCAGAUACUGACGCUGAGGUGCGAAAGCGUGGGGAGCAAACAGGAUUAGAAACCCCUGUAGUCC
rnacentral:rRNA from 1 species